UACGGAGGGGGCUAGCGUUGUUCGGAAUUACUGGGCGUAAAGCGCACGUAGGCGGCUUUGUAAGUUAGAGGUGAAAGCCCGGGGCUCAACCCCGGAAUUGCCUUUAAGACUGCAUCGCUAGAAUUGUGGAGAGGUAAGUGGAAUUCCGAGUGUAGAGGUGAAAUUCGUAGAUAUUCGGAAGAACACCAGUGGCGAAGGCGACUCGCUGGACAAGUAUUGACGCUGAGGUGCGAAAGCGUGGGGAGCAAACAGGG
rnacentral:rRNA from 1 species